rnacentral:rRNA from 1 species
UAGGGAAUCUUCGGCAAUGGGGCAACCCUGACCGAGCAACGCCGCGUGAGUGAAGAAGGUUUUCGGAUCGUAAAGCUCUGUUGUAAGAGAAGAACGUGUGUGAGAGUGGAAAGUUCACACAGUGACGGUAACUUACCAGAAAGGGACGGCUAACUACGUGCCAU